rnacentral:rRNA from 1 species
GACGAACGCUGGCGGCGUGCUUAACACAUGCAAGUCGAACGGAAAGGCCUGCUUUCCCUUGUGGAUUGCGGGUACUCGAGUGGCGAACGGGUGAGUAACACGUGAGUGAUCUGCCCCCAACUUGGGUAUAAGCCUGGGAAACUGGGUCUAAUUCCCGAUAGGACUGCAGGGUGGUGCCUGUGGUGGAAAACGAUUUUCUAGUGGUUGGGGAUGAGCUCGCGGCCUAUCAGCUUGUUGGUGGGGUAAUGGCCUACCAAGGCGGCGACGGGUAGCCGGCCUGAGAGGGUGGACGGCCCCAUUGGGACUGAGAUACGGCCCAGACUCCUACGGGAGGCAGCAGUGGGGAAUAUUACACAAUGGGCGGAAGCCUGAUGCAGCGACGCCGCGUGGGGGAUGACGGCCUUCGGGUUGUAAACUCCUUUCGACCGCGAGGAAGCCACCUGGUUGGAAGGGUGGUGACGGUAGUGGUAGAAGAAGCACCGGCUAACUACGUG